AUACUUACCUGGCAGGGGAGAUACCAUGAUCAUGAAAGUGAUCUGCCCAGGACAAGGCUUAUCCAUUGCAUUCUGGAUGUGCUAACCCCUGAGAUUUCCCCCAAUAUGGGAAACUCCACUGCAUAACUUGUGGUAGUGGGGUACUACAUUCAUGCUCUCCCCUA
ensembl:snRNA U1 U1 spliceosomal RNA